rnacentral:rRNA from 1 species
CCUUCGGGGUGGAUUAGUGGCGAACGGGUGAGUAACACGUGGGCAAUCUGCCCUUCACUCUGGGACAAGCCCUGGAAACGGGGUCUAAUACCGGAUACCACUCCUGCCUGCAUGGGCGGGGGUUGAAAGCUCCGGCGGUGAAGGAUGAGCCCGCGGCCUAUCAGCUUGUUGGUGGGGUAAUGGCCCACCAAGGCGACGACGGGUAGCCGGCCUGAGAGGGCGACCGGCCACACUGGGACUGAGACACGGCCCAGACUCCUACGGGAGGCAGCAGUGGGGAAUAUUGCACAAUGGGCGAAAGCCUGAUGCAGCGACGCCGCGUGAGGGAUGACGGCCUUCGGGUUGUAAACCUCUUUCAGCAGGGAAGAAGCGAAAGUGACGGUACCUGCAGAAGAAGCGCCGGCUAACUACGUGCCAGCAGCCGCGGUAAUACGUAGGGCGCAAGCGUUGUCCGGAAUUAUUGGGCGUAAAGAGCUCGUAGGCGGCUUGUCACGUCGGAUGUGAAAGCCCGAGGCUUAACCUCGGGUCUGCAUUCGAUACGGGCUAGCUAGAGUGUGGUAGGGGAGAUCGGAAUUCCUGGUGUAGCGGUGAAAUGCGCAGAUAUCAGGAGGAACACCGGUGGCGAAGGCGGAUCUCUGGGCCAUUACUGACGCUGAGGAGCGAAAGCGUGGGGAGCGAACAGGAUUAGAUACCCUGGUAGUCCACGCCGUAAACGUUGGGAACUAGGUGUUGGCGACAUU